rnacentral:misc_RNA from 1 species
GAAAUGAUAAGAAAAAUCUCUGAUUAAACCCUCGCUCUUUCUAUGUCACAAGAAUCGUCUUCGGAAGGUUUCUGGUUGGUUUGCCUCUGCGAUUACUCUCCAUGUCGAUCAGAGCAGUGAAAGUCAGCAAUGUUUCCUUGGGUGCAACAGAGCCAGAUAUAAAGGAGUUCUUUUCUUUUUCCGGUGAAAUUGAUUAUGUCGAGUUGCAUAGUGACAAUGAGCGAUCUCAAGUAGCAUAUGUCACCUUCAGAGAUCCACAAGGGGCAGAGACUGCUGUUCUUCUUUCGGUGCAUUUACAUCUUAAUGCUUUUCAAGCCCUUUUGUUUUACCUUAUUUUUAUCAAAUUAACUGAUCAUCUGUACAAUUUGAUUGAUAUGUGCUUAUGAUAAUAUGAUAGUUGGUAGAUUUUUAGCCCUCAUUCUUGCUGAAUCAUUUUACGAGGGUUAUGAUAAAUCUUACACCUUAGACAAAUCAGGAUUAUGCUUCCACCAUUCUCUUAAGAAUACUUCUGCAAAAUUGUAGCUAAGUUGUUGCUAUUUUCUGCUAGAUGGCUUAAUUAAUAUUCAUCACUGAAACUAUUGUCUUCUAUUGUUUCUUGAAGUAAUGUAUUAUUGGUCACAAGAAAUGUGUCGCUGCUUUUGAAAACAGAUUUGUGAUUAUUGGGGUUACGAAUUUCUGAAAGUUGCCCUAGUUAGUCAAUUUGGCAAGACCUUGAAAAUGGUUCUUUUUCAUCCAAAUACAAAUUUAACCUUCAAAAUCUGACACAGGUUUUAGCUGUAACAUAUGCCUUGUUUUGAAGCUGUUUUAUGUGUAUCACCAUAUGGACUGAUACUUGAUUCAUACUAUCUAUUGUUAGACUAUGCCUUCCUGUAGCUUUUUCUUGUUAAAAUACCUAGUCUCAGAAACCUAUUGUAAGAUACCCUAUGGAGAUAUAAAUUUGGCCUGUGCGUGUCUUGCUCUUUUGAUUUCCAUUUUAUUUAUUUGUGUGUUGUUGGGAACUUGUUUUGCUGAAAAGUUGACACAAAGAUUACAUAUAAUCCAUCUUUCUGCACUUACCAUAGUAAAAUAGUCUUGUUGAAUGAUGUUUCAUGAUUUAAGCUUGCCUGCCAUUUGCAUUGUGGUCUAAAGCCAAUAGGAUUAAUUAUUUGCCAUUCUGUUCUCAGUCAUUUAUAACCUUUUGCUUUGUCAACUUGUAGUUAAUCUUGCACUGGUUCUAGGAUUUCGCAUUAUCUAUGGGGGUUUGAUGCCAUUUAAUGCUUGUCACUUGGUUUAUUAGCUUCCCCCUUUCGUAUUUUGUUCUGUUUUUCCUGCAAAUUAAAAGAGGUUGGCUUACUUAAUUUUACUGUUCAUGAACAUCCUACAAAGUUAUAGUCUAAUAUGAAGAACCUAAUGCUUAUAUUUGGUCCAUUAAUUUUUUUUUUUUAUAUUCAUCUCUUCUUCUCUCACGUGUUUUCUUUUUAUUUUAUUUAUUCUGAUAGAUAUCAGAUUUUCUUUUAAUUUUAGUUUUGCUUGUGAUUAGCUCUUCUAUUUUGCCCCACCAAUUUUCUGUUUCAACUUGUCUCAUAUGAUUAAUCUGCUUGGUAUUUUCAGGGGGCGACUAUAGUUGAUCAGUCAGUCACAAUAGAACUGGAUCCAGGUUACAAGCUGCCUGCUGCUGCUUCAGUCCCCACUACUGUAAUACCAUUUAUUGAGCCAUUAAGAAUAAAUUUUAAUAGUAUUAAAACAAUUAUUUUCAGUUUUACUUGUUAAAUAAUUUCCAAUAUCACGAAUUGUAUGAUCCCACAGGCAACAAAGAAUACAAGUGCUUCUGGUGCUGAAUCUGCUAUGCAGAAGGCUGAGGAUAUUGUAAGCACCAUGCUUGCUAAGGGCUUCAUUCUAGGAAAAGAUGCUCUCAACCAAGCAAAGGCUUUUGAUGAGAAGCACCAGUUCACGUCAACUGCCACCUCUAAAGUUGCUUCUUUGGAUCAAAAAAUUGGUUUGAGUCAGAAAAUUAGUGCUGGCACAAUCCUUGUAAAUGACAAAGUGAGGGAAGUGGAUGAGAAGUUUCGAGUUUCUGAGACAACAAAGUCAGCCUUCGCAGCUGCUGAGGAGACAGUCAGUAAUGCUGGAUCUGCAAUCAUGAAGAACCGUUAUGUGUUAACAGGGGCUUCAUGGGUUACUGGUGCAUUCAACAGAGUUGCUAAGGCAGCUGGGGACGUGGGUCAGAAGACAAAAGAGAAGGUUUUGGCUGAGGAGCACCAGAGUCGAAGAGCAGAAGGAUAUACCCAAAUUCAUGAGUUUGACUCUCCAAAUAUGAGUGAGCAAAUGUCCAAGAGCUCGCAUUAACGAGGUUUGGUCUUUUGAUUAGCCAAUGUUCGUGUAGAUAUCUUCAUAGAGAGUUUGGAUCUCAUCAUGUGAACAUUACCUGUGCUUUCCUAAAGUUUGGAAAUAGUUGGUGAAUGGCGUUGUCAAACUUCGCGGGCAUGUUUGUGAUGAACAAAAACAGCAGCUUAUGGCUUUUUUGUUUCCCGCAAUUAUCUCUACUUGAUAUUGUUAUGUAAUAACUGUUUCAAAGCAAUCUUUUAUUAUGGGAUUUUUUUGGGGGAUUAUAAAUAUGGAUUUCAG